AUGUUGACCUCAUCUGUGUACAGUGGUUGGUCGGGAUUUGGGUACAAACGACAGUUAAGAACACGCUGGGGCCGAAAGUCCCAUAAGCCAGUUGUAAGCGUUGCUGAGAGCCAGAAAAGCCUGGAAGAGAGGAGGCAAAGCCUGGGGCCGGGAGGUUCCUGGGAAGAGGAGGGAACCUGGGCAGACCACCUCUUGCGAAGACGGACUUCACAGAAGGAGCAGGGAGGUUCCCUUUUGGAGUUUCCACAUUAUCCCGACUCCCCUGGAUGUCACGCCAGGAUCCGGCUGCACCGUAUGUUGCAAGACCUCAGCCACCGCCGCGGAGGAACUGGCCGGGAAGCGUCAGGUGUACCGGGUGAAGGGGGUGAUGGGAAAUUCACUGGGAUGGUCUGGGAAGAGGAGAGGGCAGCUUGGAUCUGGGCCGGGGUUGAGGGAGGCUGGGGUGACCGGCUGUGGGCGGGAGGGACAGGAAGCAGCCCAGGGCGGCGCGGAGAUUCCACCUGGAGCAGGUGGCGCUUCAUUCACUACAAUGACAAGAAAGAGAAAGAGGUUUGGGGGGACAUGGAGCCCCAUUCUGGAUCCACAGUGUCUGCCGUGAUGCCCAGGAGCAGACGGGGGCCUCGGAGAGACACAGGCCCAGCCUGGAGAUUCGGACUUUUUAGCAGACACAGAAACCCCCAAACGCCAGGCAGAACUCAGCAGCCCUGGGGGGGGGGGGUCUCCUAGGAAGCAUGGGCAAUGCGGGAGUGCCCACCCCCGUGCAUUCACCUCCUACACAGAGAAGGAAGGUUGCCUGGAAAAGAGGGAGAAGAAAUGAGACCAGCGCCAUCCCACCAGCACAGGUUCUCCUUGGGGACGGGCAGACGGACCCCUGCCGUUCCCAUGCCUUAUCUAAAUUUCCUGAUGAAACUGGUAAAUGUACUGUUUGCAGUUUCCUUUCCUUUAGAAAAAAGUCUACAGUACAUCAGUAUAUAUGUUUUAAUAGCUUAUGUUACUGUAGUACUCAAAACUUUUUAUUUAUUUAUUUAUUUAUUUAUUUAUUUAUUUAUUUAUUUAUUUAUUUAUUUAUUUUUGUCUUUUUAGGGCUGCACCUGAGCAUAUGGAGGUUCCAAGGCUAGGGGUCCAAUCAGAGCGGUAGCCGCCGGCCUAUGCCAGAGCCACAGCAAUGCCAGAUCCGAGCCGUGUCUGCGACCUACACCACAGCUCAUGGCAACUUCGCAUCCUUAACCCACUGAGCGAGGCCAGGGAUGGAACCCACACCCCCAUGGUUCCUAGUAGGAUUCAUUUCCGCUGCGCCACAACAGGAACUCUUAGUACUCAGAAAUUUAACAAUUCCUUUAUUUCAUACUGUAAGGAGUCACUUAUUUCUAAAAAAAAAAAAAAAAAAAGAUGCUAAGACAUAUCUGCUCUUCUGAGGCCCCCUGGAAUGGUGGCUGGACACUGGCAGGGACGUUGUGCCCCACAUUCGCUGCCGGUCUGUCAUCCAGGAAUGAGGCCUGACGCAUGCUUUGCAGGAUGGAUGAACAGAGGCCAAUGUUGGCCUGUUCACGGUCGGCUGGUCCCUCUAGAGGAAGCAGAAGCAGUGGGUGUGGGUUGCGGGGAUGUGACUGCGAGAGCCGGCGGCUCCCUGCUCUUUUUGCCUGAGGUUCCGGAUACUGUGCUGGGUCAUGAUUUCUGCUGUCAGGGCGAUUCGUUCAGGAAACUCAACUUACGUGGUGAUCAGAUU
rnacentral:lncRNA from 1 species